GUUCGGACUGUAGGCUGCAACUCGCCUACACGAAGUUGGAAUUGCUAGUAAUCGUGGAUCAGCAUGCCACGGUGAAUACGUUCCCGGGUCUUGUACACACCGCCCGUCACACCAUGGGAGCUGGUAACACCCGAAGUCAGUAGUCUAACCGCAAGGAGGACGCUGCCGAAGGUGGGAUUAGCGACUGGGGUGAAGUCGUAACAAGGUACC
rnacentral:rRNA from 1 species